rnacentral:rRNA from 1 species
UGCAGUCGUACGAUGAUCCGGUGCUUGCACCGGGGAUUAGUGGCGAACGGGUGAGUAACACGUGAGUAACCUGCCCUUAACUCUGGGAUAAGCCUGGGAAACUGGGUCUAAUACCGGAUAUGACUCCUCAUCGCAUGGUGGGGGGUGGAAAGCUUUUUUGUGGUUUUGGAUGGACUCGCGGCCUAUCAGCUUGUUGGUGAGGUAAUGGCUCACCAAGGCGACGACGGGUAGCCGGCCUGAGAGGGUGACCGGCCACACUGGGACUGAGACACGGCCCAGACUCCUACGGGAGGCAGCAGUGGGGAAUAUUGCACAAUGGGCGCAAGCCUGAUGCAGCGACGCCGCGUGAGGGAUGACGGCCUUCGGGUUGUAAACCUCUUUCAGUAGGGAAGAAGCGAAAGUGACGGUACCUGCAGAAGAAGCGCCGGCUAACUACGUGCCAGCAGCCGCGGUAAUACGUAGGGCGCAAGCGUUAUCCGGAAUUAUUGGGCGUAAAGAGCUCGUAGGCGGUUUGUCGCGUCUGCCGUGAAAGUCCGGGGCUCAACUCCGGAUCUGCGGUGGGUACGGGCAGACUAGAGUGAUGUAGGGGAGACUGGAAUUCCUGGUGUAGCGGUGAAAUGCGCAGAUAUCAGGAGGAACACCGAUGGCGAAGGCAGGUCUCUGGGCAUUAACUGACGCUGAGGAGCGAAAGCAUGGGGAGCGAACAGGAUUAGAUACCCUGGUAGUCCAUG